rnacentral:rRNA from 1 species
UAAGUCACUUUAUCUUUAUGAUAAAUGUGAGAUGCAGUGUAUGGAACGUCUAUAAUCUAAUAAUAUUAAUUAACAAUUUAAGUUUCUCUCAAAAGAGGCCAUUUACCCAUAGAGGGUGCCAGGCCCGUAUAACGUUAAUGAUUAUUAGAAGAUGUUUCCAAAGAGUCGUGUUGCUUGAUAGUGCAGCACUAAGUGGGUGGUAAACUCCAUCUAAAACUAAAUAUAACCAUGAGACCGAUAGUAAACAAGUACCGUGAGGGAAAGUUGAAAAGAACUCUGAAUAGAGAGUUAAAUAGUACGUGAAACUGCUUAGAGGUUAAGCCCGAUGAACCUGAAUAUUCAUUAUGGAAAAUUCAACAUAUGUCUAUAGUAUAUAAAAAAUACUUUAGAAAUAUUGUGCAUUUUUUCCAUAUAAGAACAUUGUAAUCUAUUAACAUAUAAAUAUAAAUUUAUCAAAAGAUCAUUGGCUUAAGUUUAUUCAAAUUAAAUUGCUUGCGAUUUAACACAGAAUAAAUGCUUAUGAUUUGAUAAAGUGUUGAUAGAUUUAUCAAAUUAGUGCUAAAAUUUGAAUAAAUUUUACAAUUGCAUAUUUAUCUAAAAUGAUUUUUAUGUUAAUUGUAUGCACUUAAUUGAUUAACAAUGCGAUAGAUUCAGGAUACCUUCGGGACCCGUCUUGAAACACGGACCAAGGAGUCUAACAUAUGUGCAAGUCAUUGGGAUUAUAUAUAUAAACUCAAAGGCGAAAUUAACUUAACUUAUUAAUAAUGGGAUUAGUUUUUAGUCUAUUUUUAAUAGUCUAAUAAUUCAAUCCCGGGGCGUUCUAUAUAGUUAUGUAUAAUAAUAUUUAUAUUAUUUAUGCCUCUAACUAGAGCGUACCUUGAGCAUAUAUGCUGUGACCCGAAAGAUGGUGAACUAUACUUGAUCAGGUUGAAGUCAGGGGAAACCCUGAUGGAAGACCGAAACAGUUCUGACGUGCAAAUCGANNNNNNCGAUAGAAUAAUGUAGGUAAGGGAAGUCGGCAAAUUAGAUCCGUAACUUCGGGAUAAGGAUUGGCUCUGAAGAUUGAGAUAGUCGGGCUUGAUUGGGAAGCAAUAACAUGGUUUAUGUACUCGUUCUGGAUAAAUAGAGAUUUUCGAAUCUUGUUCCCCGGAUAGUAGCUACGUAGCCAAUUGUGGAACUUUUUUGCUAAAAUUUUUAAGGGAUCAUCGAAAGAUGUAUCCUUUUUAAAUUAUAACGAUUAUCAAUUAACAAUCAAUUCAGAACUGGCACGGACUUGGGGAAUCCGACUGUCUAAUUAAAACAAAGCAUUGUGAUGGCCCUAACGGGUGUUGACACAAUGUGAUUUCUGCCCAGUGCUCUGAAUGUCAAAGUGAAGAAAUUCAAGUAAGCGCGGGUAAACGGCGGGAGUAACUAUGACUCUCUUAAGGUAGCCAAAUGCCUCGUCAUCUAAUUAGUGACGCGCAUGAAUGGAUUAACGAGAUUCCUUCUGUCCCUAUCUACUAUCUAGCGAACCACAGCCAAGGGAACGGGCUUGGAAAAAUUAGCGGGGAAAGAAGACCCUGUUGAGCUUGACUCUAGUCUGGCAGUGUAAGGAGACAUAAGAGGUGUAGAAUAAGUGGGAGAUAGAUAAUUUCGGUUGUUUGUCGCCAAUGAAAUACCACUACUCUUAUUGUUUCCUUACUUACUUGAUUAAAUGGAACGUGUAUCUUUGCCUAGCCAUUUUACGGAUAUAUUUAUAUAUUUUAUGGUAUUGGGUUUAGAUGCAAGCUUCUUGAUCAAAGUAUCACGAGUUUGUUAUGCAAUUGUAAACAAAUUUUGAUGAAACAAAGAGCUUUCGGGUUUUUUGUUAUAAUUGAAAUUUGGUAUAACUCCAAUACUCAGAUAUGAUCCAAUUCAAGGACAUUUCCAGGUAGGGAGUUUGACUGGGGCGGUACAUCUCUCAAAUAAUAACGGAGGUGUCCCAA